rnacentral:rRNA from 1 species
UACGUAGGGGGCAAGCGUUGUCCGGAUUUAUUGGGCGUAAAGCGCGUGUAGGCGGCUGGGUAGGUCUGCUGUGAAAACUUGAGGCUCAACCUCAAGAGGUCGGUGGAAACCAUCCAGCUAGAGUCCGGAAGAGGAGAAUGGAAUUCCUGGUGUAGCGGUGAAAUGCGCAGAUAUCAGGAGGAACACCGGUGGCGAAGGCGGGGUCUCUGGGCCGAUACUGACGCUGAGGAGCGAAAGCCGUGGGGAGCAA